rnacentral:rRNA from 1 species
UUGGAGGGCAAGUCUGGUGCCAGCAGCCGCGGUAAUUCCAGCUCCAAUAGCGUAUAUUAAAGUUGUUGCAGUUAAAAAGCUCGUAGUUGAAUUUCGGGGUCAGUAGGUUGGUCAUACCACUGGUAUGUACUGGUCUCACUGAUUCCUCCUUCCUGAUGAACUGUAAUGCCAUUAAUUUGGUGUUGCAGGGAAUCUGGACUGUUACUUUGAAAAAAUUGGAGUGUUUAAAGCAGGCUAACGCCUGAAUACAUUAGCAUGGAAUAAUGAAAUAGGACGUUCGAUCCUAUUUUGUUGGUUUCUAGGAUUGACGUAAUGAUUAAUAGGGAUAGUUGGGGGCAUUAGUAUUCAAUUGUCAGAGGUGAAAUUCUUGGAUUUAUUGAAGACUAACUUCUGCGAAAGCAUUUGCCAAGGAUGUUUUCAUUAAUCAAGAACGAAAGUUAGGGGAUCGAAGACGAUCAGAUACCGUCGUAGUCUUAACCAUAAACUAUGCCGACUAGGGAUCGGACGAUGUUAAUUUUUUAAUGACUCGUUCGGCGCCUUACGUU